UACAGAGGGUGCAAGCGUUGUUCGGAAUUAUUGGGCGUAAAGCGCGCGCAGGCGGUUUCUUAAGUCUGAUGUGAAAGCCCACGGCUCAACCGUGGAGGGUCAUUGGAAACUGGGGAACUUGAGUGCAGAAGAGAAGAGUGGAAUUCCACGUGUAGCGGUGAAAUGCGUAGAGAUGUGGAGGAACACCAGUGGCGAAGGCGACUCUUUGGCCUGUAACUGACGCUGAGGCGCGAAAGCGUGGGGAGCAAACAGG
rnacentral:rRNA from 1 species